rnacentral:rRNA from 1 species
CAGUCGCCGCGGGAAAACGAAGGGUGCAAGCGUUACUCGGAAUUACUGGGCGUAAAGGGAGCGCAGGCGGUUUAGUAAGUCUGAAGUUAAAGGCAUUGGCUCAACCAAUGUAUGCUUUGGAAACUGUUAGACUUGAGUGCAGAAGGGGAGAGUGGAAUUCCAUGUGUAGCGGUGAAAUGCGUAGAUAUAUGGAGGAACACCGGUGGCGAAAGCGGCUCUCUGGUCUGUCACUGACGCUGAGGCUCGAAAGCGUGGGUAGCGAACAGGAUUAGAUACCCCCGUAGUCCCUGUCUCUUAUACA